rnacentral:misc_RNA from 1 species
CCGCCUUGGUUUCACAGCGACAGAGAACAUAGGAAGAAGAUUCAACAAGAAUACGAGCGCCGGAGGAAGCAGCUCAACGAUCUCUGUCUCGCCGUCAAGGCCGAUUCCGUCUCCGACUUGCAGGAAAUUCUCUGUUGCAUGGUCCUCUCCGAGUGUGUAUAUAAGGUAAAACACUAAAACUGUUUGAACAAAUUUAAGGCUGACUUUGGAGGACAAGUUGUUUCUCUGGAGCGUGUGCAACCC